AUUGAACGCUGGCGGCAGGCUUAACACAUGCAAGUCGAGCGGGGAAAGGUAGCUUGCUACCUGACCUAGCGGCGGACGGGUGAGUAAUGCUUAGGAAUCUGCCUAUUAGUGGGGGACAACAUUCCGAAAGGAAUGCUAAUACCGCAUACGCCCUACGGGGGAAAGCAGGGGAUCUUCGGACCUUGCGCUAAUAGAUGAGCCUAAGUCAGAUUAGCUAGUUGGUGGGGUAAAGGCCUACCAAGGCGACGAUCUGUAGCGGGUCUGAGAGGAUGAUCCGCCACACUGGGACUGAGCAACGGCCCAGAUUCCGACGGGAGGCAGCAGUGGGGAAUAUUGGACAAUGGGCGAAAGCCUGAUCCAGCCAUGCCGCGUGUGUGAAGAAGGCCUUUUGGUUGUAAAGCACUUUAAGCGAGGAGGAGGCUACUUGGAUUAAUACUCUAGGAUAGUGGACGUUACUCGCAGAAUAAGCACCGGCUAACUCUGUGCCAGCAGCCGCGGUAACAC
rnacentral:rRNA from 1 species